AUGAUUACCCAACAGUACUUGGCGCGCAAUAUAUAUACAUUAGGAAUUGCCCUCUUCGCCGUGCACUGCAUGUGGCGUAGUGAUCAACUGAGUUGUUUUCUCAUGUCGAUGUUUGUUUUCCUUGCUGCAUUAGUGUUAGCAGCCAUAGCAGUUCAUGUCGCUGCUCAGCGAGAAGGUUUUCUGAGCAUCGACUGCGGCCUGGAUGCCAAGUUCAGGGGGCGCAAGGACACCUACACAGACAUCGAUUAUGUCUCCGACAGCCCGUACGUCGACGGCGGGGAGAACCACAAGGUAGCCGCCGAGUUCGAUACCAGUGCCACACCCGAGGACCGCCGCACGCUCAGGAGUUUCCCGUCCGGCCUACGGAACUGCUACACGCUCCCCACCGAGAGCGGCGCCAAGUACCUGGUCCGGAUGGUGUUCUUCUAUGGAGACUACGACGGCAAGACCAGCCCGUCGUUCGAAGUUCACCUGGGAAGCAACUACUGGGACACGUUCGACGGGAGCUCUUACUGGUGGUCCGAGGCGGUGUUCAUCGCAUGGGCGAGCUGGGUGCCGGUGUGCCUCGUGAACACCGGCAGCGGCACGCCGUUCGUCAACACGGUGGAGCUGAGGCCGCUCGAAGCCACGCUUUACCCACAGGUCACCGCUGACGAGUCCAUAUCCGCCUUUGCAAGGAAAAAUCUGGGGACAAACGACACUUUAAUCCGGUUUCCCGACGAUCCAUACGAUCGCUUCUGGGAGUGGGAUCCCAACUCAUCGUGGACAAACCUUUCCACCAAGGAGCCCAUCCUGCAGGACGGCAGCUUUCCUGUGCCCAUCCCCGUUCUAGAGACAGCCGUCGCACCUGUCAACAAUGGCACGGUGCUGAACGUCAAUACAUGGAAAACGUACAAAAGGUCAUUCGAGUUUACGUUCUUCCUACACUUCAGCGACAUCCAAAACACCCAGCUCCGGCUAUUUGACCUCUACGUGAACGACGAGCAAUUGAUGGAUAAAUACAGCCCCUCCUACCUGGCCGCUGGUUAUGUGUAUUCUUCUACCUGGAGUAAGACUACAGACGGCAAGUACAAUAUCACUCUUGCAGCCAGCCCUACAUCCGUGCUGCCUCCGAUGAUCAAUGCAUACGAGGUUUACAACAACAUCCCCCACGAUACUCCGAGGACGUCCACCAAAGACUUCAACACAAUGAUGGCUAUCAAACUCGAGUAUGGAGUAAAGAAAAAUUGGAUGGGUGAUCCAUGUUUUCCGGCCAAAUAUCGAUGGAAUGGCGUGAAAUGUAGCGACUUAACUGAAAACAUUACAAGAAUAAUAUCUCUGGAUCUCUCCAAUAGUAACUUGACUGGAUUGGUAUCUGAUAACUUCACAUUUCUCACAGACCUCCAGUUUCUGGGUUUGUCCGGUAACAGUCUGAAUGGCCCAAUUCCUUAUUCCCUUUGUAAAAGGAAUGCAGGAUCGCUCGUUGUCAGGUAUGAAUCUGGAGAAGAUAUGUGCAACAAAACAAUAAGUCCGCCUCCAUCAAGAAAUAGAACAGCUAUAGUAUCUAUUUCAGUAGUGGUUCCCAUGGUGGCAGUGUCUGUACUUGUUCUUUCAUAUUUGAUCUGGAGAGUGAAGAGAAAGCCCAAAAUUUGUACACAUGAUCCACCCAAAGAAUCAGAGCUUCAGAGUGCUCCAGGAAGUACAAGAAGUCAGGGGGAUCACCUGCAAAAUACUGAGAAUCGUCGAUUCACGUACAUGGAGCUGCAAAAAUUUACUAACAAGUUCGAACGGUUCAUUGGACAAGGAGGUUUUGGGCUAGUGUACUACGGGCGUUUAGAAGACAAUAGUGAGGUUGCUGUCAAGAUGCGUUCUGAAUCAUCGUCUCACGGGCUAGAUGAGUUCUUAGCCGAGGUCCAUAGCUUGACAAAGGUGCAUCACAGGAAUCUAGUUUCUUUGGUUGGCUACUGCUGGGAGAAAGAUCAUUUAGCACUGGUUUAUGAGUACAUGUCUCGAGGCAAUCUUUGUGAUCAUCUGAGAGGAAAACAUGGUGAUGAGACCUUGGACUGGGCAACACGUGUACGAGUUGUGCUUGAAGCUGCACAAGGCCUGGAUUAUCCGCACAAGGGAUGCAGCCUGCCAAUAAUUCACAGGGAUGUGAAGACCAGCAAUAUUCUGUUAGGUCAAAAUCUGCGGGCGAAAAUAGCUGAUUUUGGACUUUGUAAAACCUAUCUUAGCGAAACACAGACUCACAUAUCAACCAAUGCGGCUGGAUCAGCGGGUUACUUUGACCCAGAGUACUACCACACUGGCAGGCUCACUGAGAGCAGCGACGUUUACAGCUUCGGUGUCGUUCUACUGGAGAUAGCUACUGGCGAGCCUCUGAUACUGCCAGGCCAUGGCCACAUUGUUCAGCGCAUGAAACAGAAGAUGGCCACAGGUAACAUCACCUCAGUCGCCGAUGCAAGGCUCGGUGGUGCCUACGAGGUUACCUCCAUGUGGAAACUAGUCGACACUGCCAUUGCGUGUACAGCAGAUGCUGCUGUCGGAAGGCCAACAAUGGCAGCCGUGGUGGCACAGCUGAAGGAGAGCAUUGCAUUGGAAGAAGCCCGUGUGGACAGCGCUGUCAGGGUAAGCCCGGUGAGUGAUACCGUGGCCUUAGUGUCCACAUUUAGCCCAUCGGCAAGGUGA
rnacentral:rRNA from 1 species